rnacentral:tRNA from 1 species
GGCCCCAUCGUCUAGUCUGGUCCAGGACACCAGGUUUUCAUCCUGGUAACGGGGGUUCGAAUCCCCCUGGGGUCA